AUUUUUUAUUUAAGUGGCGAUUAUGCUUCGAACCGUGUCAGGAUGGAAACAUAGCAGCACUAAGAUGAUGUUAACGGGUACUUGGUAAAAAACGGA
rnacentral:SRP_RNA from 1 species